AUAAUAACAUUAAUAAAUUUUCCUUCACAGAAAGUUUAGCAUACAGAAUCCCACUUUUUGAUGUCAUUUUCCAAACACCAAAGAUUACUAUCCUAGUAACAUGGUAUUACAUAACGGUUCUUAUUACAGAUUUAUUCAUGAAAAAAGUGGGAAGUCUAACUUUGUAACUUAAAAGUUACUGGGAGUAGACAAGCACUGCAUCGUCGUCACAAUCCACAAUCUUAUAGUCCACAAUAAGGUGCCCUCGAUUGAAGCCGUUCCCAUUGGUGUCAAUCGGAUUAAACGCAGUUUCGAGGUCUAACUCCAGGCCUCCAGUGCCGCAUGUGUCAAUGAUUCUCACUAUUUCCUCGUCUUUAGUUUCAGUGUUGGUUACCUGCAAGUACAGUGGCGGAGCCAACAUUGAUUAAAUUACGCAUGAAAAUAAUAUACAACUUAGUAUUUUAACACGUUAUGGCCAUAAUUUGCACGAUCAAAUUGUAUGAAUUUGAGAACUUUUGAGGGAUCCAUGGCCCCUUUGAACCUAACUACCAUCCGAUCCUGCAUGCAGGUGGGAAUAAAUUAUGUUUAUAGCUCAUAAUUUUCAUGCAUUGCACGAGCUUUUCUAAGGCGAAGUCUCUAAUUUUCCUUCAGUACUAUUCAAUAGAUAUAUUCAAUAUAUGGAGAUGAAAAUUAGUGAGAGGUAGAAAAAGUUGCUCACCUUCAAGCACUUGCCACAAGCGUCUACCCCCGUAGGACCAACUGGUCCGCAGAAGCCGGUCCAUCCAUAUUUGCUGCGCCAUUCCAAGGGCUUAUCACCAACCUCUCCGGCGCAAAAAGGAGGUAUGACCCAGCCAUUAUUCGUAGCAUUGUAGUCAGUCCAAUAAGCCGUGACAUUGGUAGCAUCUGGGACGUCGUCGUCUGCAUCACAGUCCACAAAUUCAUAGUCCACAGUAAGGUGACCUUCUUGAUAGCCUCGUCCAUCAGUGUCAAUGGGAUUAAACGCAGUCUCGAGGUCCAACUCUAAGCCUCCAGCGCCGCAUGUAUCGACGAUUCUCACCGUUUCAUAAGCUCCAGUUGCAGUGUUGGUCACCUGGACGUACGCACGAGAAUAAAUUAUGCGUAUAGCUCAGAAAUUUUAAUGAAGACACGAGCUUUCUUAUAGAAGACAAAAGACAAAUAGGAAAAAAUAAAUAACAAAAUUAUCAAGGACACAAAGCUUAAGUCCUUACAUUUAAGCACUUGCCACAAGAAUCUACCCCCUGAGUACCAUUCGGUCCACAGAAGCCUGUCCAUCCAUAUUUGCUGCGCCAUUCCAAGGGCUUACCACCAACCACUGCGGCACAAAAGGAAGGUAUUGUCCAGCCAUUUUCCGUAGUAUUGUAGUCAGUCCAAUAAGCUAUGACAUCAGAAGCACUUUGGGCAGAGGCAAAAGCCACCAGGCAGGCCAAGAACAGAAUUCUUAAGCUGAGUCUCUUCAUUUUUUGUGUGAAAUACUCAAUUGGUUUGCUUGGUAUCGUUUCCAGGAUGUGCUCCAAUUUAUAGGAAAGGUUCCCUGAUACAAUUAUAGACUUCAUUUGUCACCCUACGUGUAAAGAUUAAACCAUGUGAAUUUCAUUCUCUUAAUAAUAGAAUCAUACAUCAUUGUCAUUUUGUCAAUAAGUACUACAGUGACUCAAGGCCCAGUAAGUCUCUAGAUAAACACAAUGCAGAAUCACUAAUUCACAAGGUCUGUUUGCACCAUUAUUUGCCAGUAGUGUUUGUCUUUUUUUCGUCAUUGAUUGGUCAUAUCAAUAAUAGCAAUCUCUUCAUACUUUUUAUAUUUACUGGUGCGGGCUGCUCUUGCCUAAAUUACUGGACUUGCAUAUGAUCCAUGAGAUAAAUAUUAGGCAAUUAGGGCGGCUUUAAGGUCAAGUCACCAAACUAAGGAUUUUAGGUUUCAAAUUUUCAUAGAUGUUGUAAUUUUAUAAUAAUAAUAUAAUUUAUUAUUAUAUUAUAUUAAAAAUAUAUAAAAAUUAAAAUAAUUACUAAAAGGACAUAUUUUCUUCUUUCUCUAAUAUGUACUUAAUAAAUUUCAAUUUUUUUUUAUCAUUUUUCAAUUCCCACAAUACUAUUAAUUAUCAACUAUUUCUCUUAUUCCCAAUCAACUAAGAAUAAUAUGUAUUUAAUAAUUUCCAACCACUAUUUUUUUUCUAUUAUACAUUUUCUUUCCUUAUUUGCUCUUUCUUCCUUAACUUCAAUAAAGAAGACUUCAUUUUCUUAAUUUCAAUAAAAAAGGCCUUUUAAGCCUUUAAGAUUAUUGAACUGCUAUUGCAAGCAACUCCUUGGUUAAGGAAUAUUAAAUAUUUUAAAUUAAUACCAAGUUAAGUUAUUUGUUCUGAAUAAAGGGUUGAAGAGCAAAAGAAGCUGGAUGUGCUUUCAAAUAAUGAAGUCUUUAUCAAGGUUUCAAUUAGUAGUUAGAUGAACUUUUAAGUUAUUUAUAAACAUAUGAGAUGCUACGAUUUUCUUUUAACAAUAUAGAUGUUUUACGAGUGCAUGUUUAUCUUUAAAGAAGAUAUAGAAGCAACAUUUGUGAGGAUUCGGCUCCUGUCUAUUACUUUGUCAUUGUCAUUUGUAUUUGUUUGGUCCUCCUGCCUACGGUUUUUCUAUAUGCAGAGGGGAUGAUGUUGUCAUGGAGUAGCUAGUGCCAACUUUAGAAUUUUAAUUUCUGACAAUUUUCAAGCAGUUAAAGAAGGCUUUUUCAUUCGCUUUCUCCUCUCUUUGCAGGCGUAUAGUACAUCAACCUCAUCUGCAGGCAAUCCUUCUCGAUUGUCUUCAGCUUUCAUUUUUUUUUCUUUUGUGCAGAUCAAGAUCUGUCUCUUGCUGUAGGGAAGCUAAUGGUAUAGCUGACCUUCUGUCAUGGAGAGCUGCUGUUCUUAUGAAAGGAAUUAAUGAAAUCUAUGAAAAAUAUAUAUUUUUUAUUAUAUGAUGGUGAAAUCAUAUGCAUGUAUUAUAAAAUAAGCUAUAUAAUAUUUACACACGUUUUCCUUUUCCAUGCACUUAAUAUGACUCCCACAUCACCAUCGUAGUUGAGGCCACCAGAAAAGAAAAUUGUAGGAUAGCCACAUUUUUUCUUUGGAUGUAAUAAAUCCAACAUGAACCAUAUGAUAGUGAACCAACAUGACUACCUUAAUUUUUAAUUUCUUGUCUUUUUGUCCAUAACUGUGACAUGUGACAAAUCAAAACCUUCAGCAUUACUAUCUAUCUAUCACCUUUCAAAAUAAUAAUUAAAUAAUAUUAUGAAAUUAACCAAACAUCAAAUCAAAAAAUUAAUUCGAAAAAAAUUCAAAUGAAAAGAUUCAAGUAUUUUUUUUUUCAAUUAUUGAUCAUUCAUGUAACCUACCAGCAGAGCAAAAAUAGUAUUUAUUGAUGAAAAUUUAGGGACUGAUAUUGACGGAUUUAUCGCUUACCAAUUAUUUGUUUCACCAAUAAGAGAAUAUUAUUUUCAACAAAGUAUACCAUUGGUAUGUUGCUGACGGAAAAUUUCUUCACCAACAAAAAAAUAUUACAACAACCAUUUCUUGGAUUGAUUUAGUGACGAAGUCUUUUGUCAAUAAUUCUCAAUACUAACAGAUUUUCAAGCUUUAUCAAUUGAAUAUUUUAUCGAUAAAAAUAAUAAUUUUUAUAAGAUUUUUAAUAGAUAAGUAUAACCCAAAAAUUAACUGGAAAAAUUCUGUUACAAGAUCAACCAUUGUCAUAGCAGCACUCCCAUAAGCAUGCAGAAAACAAUUACAUAACCAUAAUUAAGUGUUUGUAUAAACGAUACAAACUAAUUAGUUUGAUGGUUUUUUUUUUUAUAAUUAGAAGAGGAGAGAUUCGAACUCUACUCUUUAGGCAGAGGGAUUAUGUACCAGUUAAUGAGAUAAAUGCUCGGGUGUAAAUUAAUUAGUUUGAUGGUUGAGUCAUGGCAAUGAGAAAAACAAAUAAUAAUAAUUGUUGUGCUGCUCAACCAUUAGAUUCAAAAAAAUAUUUCCAUCUUUGUGCACCACUUUUCAUUUUUGCUGACAACGACAAAGCCAAAAGAAAUUUGAUUCCCCUUAUCCUCUGAAACCAAAGCUGUUUCUCUGGUCCCGACCGUAAGGACCAGACAGCUAGCUAGGAGAAAACAAAAGUUUCAACCCAAGGUAUGUCAAAAACAAGAGGAAGUGGUCACGGUGGAGUAGAUAAAAAAUAACCGCUGUAGCUUUUGUUUAUGUCCUAAGGCAACAGGCUCGCAUCAGCACGUUCUGAAAACAUGCUGAAAUUAUUGUACAGUUAGAGCCACAUCUUGGGCAAUUGUCCUGAUCCAAAGAUCCUGUUUUGGUUUUUCAAGAAGGGUCAUUAAUUCUUUUGGGUGAGGAAGUGUUGGAUUUUUGGAUAAAGUUGGGGGUCUUCCAUUUUCCACGUCCAAUUAGAUCCUCCCCAGGGUUGACAAAGAGUACCCUUUUUUAAGUGGAUAGGCCUUCUUUUUUAUAUAUAAUGCAUAUGUCUGCUUCACCUUUUAAGUGUUGUUUGGAGGCAAGUCGGUGAAUGAGAGUUUUCUAUGGAUUUUGGUUUUUUAUUUUGGAAAGCAUGUCUAUUUGAUUUUUUAAGUGAUUUUUCUAGUUUGUUUAAUUGUCGUAUUCGUUAUCAUAUAUAUUCUCCCAAUUGUGUGGUUAACAUGAAAUAUGAAACCCUCUGAUUAUUUAUUAAUAAAACUCCUUUUGGGUUUGGCAAAAAAGAAAAAAAUCUGCUUCACCUUCUUGGAUAUCUGGGUUUGGAUCUCAAUGCAUGAUCCUCAGAUAUAUGAUCACCAGCUUUUUCAAAUAAUUUUAAAGAAGGAAGACAACCUCAUAAUUAAGUUUUCUCAAUCCACAUCACAGUUCAAACAUGGUCGUCAACAUUUACCCUUCCUUCCAACUUGUAUAUCAUUUUUUUUUUUGAAUAGUGGUUGGCUUAUAUAUAUCUCGGAGCUAAAAUGUCAUGGUGAGUCUUGAACCUUGGAAGUAGAAGACUCAUGUUGCUUUGUAAAAGCGACAAUGUCCGAACCAAAUACAAAAGCGAUCAGUUGCUUAUCAAGCACAAAGCAGCACCUAUCCAAGAAGAAUAGAGCCCCUAUACAGAAAAUACUGGGCCACCAGAAACGAAUCAACAAAAGACUAUACAUCAGCUAGACCAACGUGAAGUGAUCCAAAAACAGCAGAGAGAGCUCGUUUCCAAAAGUUGAGAUCAAGCGGCCAGAAAUCUUGUUUUGAGACGGAACUCAGAGGAGAUCAAAAUCUCUGCGACGAUCUUCUAUUUCUUCUUCCAACUCAACGGAUUUCUCCCUUAUUCGUGGAACCGGCCAUGAUAGUACUUUUUCAACCUGACAAAGCAAAUAUGCACCCAAUUAAGAUAUAUUAUUAAAUUUGUUUGUAUGGAGCCUUAAUUAGUGAUAAGAACAGAUAGUAGUGUACUUUCUUUUAUUGCUAAAAGUUACAGUAGAUAUCUGAAAGUAAUUUCUUCUUGAGACAAAAAAUGUCUAUAGCUUAUACCAAUAUCAAGUAGCUAGACCAAGCAAUCCUGUCAACAAGUGAUAAAUCUUAAUAAAUUGCAAUAAGUUUACGUCAAAAUGUUUAAAGCAACAAAUUUUAUUGUAAAUAAGAGAUAACAUAUUAAUGCAUGUAUGAUAUGUGUGAAUUGUAUACUAUUUGCAAAUUCAUUUUCAUAUAUAUUUUCAAAAUUUUCAGCAAAGAUUCAAAAUAUUCUAUUUAGAUGAAUACAUAUGUCAUAUGUGAGUUUACCUCAGAAAGUACGCAUUUUAUGUGAGUAACGAACAUGUCUAAACACUCUUCACAAUAAUAGAUGUGAUUUUUUGUAAAUUGUUUUUUUUUACAAAUAUCACAAUAAUACUCUCUUAUAUCAUCCUCGACAAAUAAAUUCUUAAAAACAAGUGGAUGAUUGUGAUGUAACCAUUUGUGGUAUUGGAAAACAAUCCAAUAUCCACAUGUGAAGUGCUUGGUAUUAGGAGAUCUAGUAAGAAGGUUUAGCGGAAUGACGAGGAUGUAACACCUCAUUGGGCAAUUCAGUGCAUGUUUUGUGUAGGUAAUAUCAACAUUCUUUACAUAUAUAGGUUGGACAAUGAAUUUCCAGCUUGCAAGCUUGGCAGCCAAAGUUUUCAUCUUCCUUAUGUAAUGGCCGGCCCCCCCNNNNNNNNNNNNNNNNNNNNNNNCCAAAACUUUUAAAAUUUUUUCCAUAACAUAUAAAAAUUUUUAAAUUUUUUCAUAUAUUCUAUUAUUAGCUCCCUCAAAAUAAUGGUUUAUUUAAUAAUUAAUAUAAAUAAAAAAUAAUAAAAUGAUUUUACUUAUCUUACUCAACUUUAAAUUUUUUUAAUUUAUAUUUGUUUAUUUUUAUUUUAUUUAUUCAUAUGUUAUAAGUUUUUAAAAAUAUUCUUUCUCAAAUUUCUACAAAUCAUUAACCAUAUUCUUUUUCUUUCUUUUUUGUUAUGUAAUAUGCGGUAUUUACCUUCUACUUGCCAUGUUAUUCUUUUUUAUGUUACAUAAAUUUUAUUUUCUAUGAUUUUAAUGUUUAAAAAUUAAUAAAUUAUUAUAUAGUUCUCAAAUAUAAGUUGUAAUAGUACAUUGUUACUUAAAAUUUCAUCAAUGUAUCAUUUUUUUAUUAAUCUUGAUUAUAUAAGAGAAAAUUAACUUGAGUAUAUUUUUUUAUAUGCUUUACAUUUUAUGUUUAGUUAAAAUAAAAUUCUCUUGAAUAUAUAGUAUUUAAAUAAUUCUGAUUAUAUAAAAAAAAAUUAUUAAUCGUAUAUAUCGUUUUUAACUAUCUAUAUUUUACAAAUUAUAGUUUUAUAUUUAGUUUCAUAUUUCUAUUAUUAAUAUUUUUAUUGUUGAUUGAAUUUAACAUAUUAGGGUCUUAAAAUUUUUAACUCUUAUUUAACUGUGUUUGGCCCCCCCAAUAAAAUUUGGCUAGCUCCCCCCCUGCUUAUGUACCUCAUGAAAAUUUGACCGAUGAUGAUGGUGGAAAUGCUGAAUUUGCAUCUGAAAGAGAAGAGAAAAAAAAAAAAACAAAAGAGACAAUUGCUCUGUUUUAAAGAUAUUCAGAAAAGUAUUAAGGAAAGAUAAUAUAAUAAUGAAAAAUUAUUAUAUUAACCUAAGACCAUUCUCUCUACAUGCUCUAAUGUCAUUCUAAAAUUUAAGCUAAAUAUCUCACCUAAAAUCAAUUUAAUAAGUGAAGUUCACAGGAAUUCUCCUCCAUGAAAACCAAACAAUCCACAUAAAUUGCAAUAAUAUAUUUGUCAUUUUCUGUUGAGAAAAUCGGACAACAUCUCAAGCUAUGAAUCACCUUCUUACCUCUUUCAGCAUAUAAUAACAUUAUUAAAUUUUCCUUCACAGAAAGCUUAGCAUACAGAAUCCCACUUUUUGAUGUCAUUUUCCAAACACCAAAGAUUACCAUCCUAGUAUCAUGGUAUUACAUAACGGUUCUUAUUACAGAUUUAUUCAUGAAAAAAGUGGGAAGUCUAACUUUGUAACUUAAAAGUUACUGGGAGUAGACGAGCACUGCAUCGUCGUCACAAUCCACAACCUUGUAGUCCAAAAUAAGGUGUCCUCGAUUGAUGCCGUUCCCAUUGGUGUCAAUCGGUUUAAAUGCAGUUUCGAGGUCUAACACCAGGCCGUCAAUGCCGCAUGUGUCAACGAUUCUCACUGUUUCCUCGUCUUUAGUUUCAGUGUUGGUUAUCUGCAAGUACAGUGGCGGAGCCAAGAUUGAUUAAACUAUGCAUGAAAAUAAUAUACAACUCAGAAUUUUAAUAUUUUAUGGCCAUAAUUUGCACGAUCAAAAUGUAGGAAUUUGAGAACUUUUGAGGGAGCCAUGGCCCCUUUGAACCUAACUACCAUCCGAUCCUGCAUGCAGGUGAGAAUAAAUUAUGUUUAUAGCUCAUAAUUUCGAUGUAUUGCACAAGCAUUUCUUAGGCGAAGUCUCUAAUUUUCCUUCAGUACUAUUCAGUAGAUAUAUUCAAUAUAUGGAGAUGAAAAUUAGUGAGAGGUAGAAAAAGUUGCUCACCUUCAAGCACUUGCCACAAGCGUCUACCCCCGUAGGACCAACUGGUCCACAGAAGGCGGUCCAUCCAUAUUUGCUGCGCCAUUCCAAGGGCUUAUCACCAUCCACUGCGGCGCAAAAAGGAGGUAUGACCCAGCCAUUAUUCGUAGCAUUGUAGUCAGCCCAAUAAGCAAUGACAUUGGUAGCAUCUGGGACGUCGUCGUCUGUGUCAUCGUCCACAGCUUCACAGUCCACAAAUUCAUAGUCCACAGUAAGGUGACCGUUUUGAUAGCCUCUUCCAUCAGUGUCAAUGGGUUUAAACGCAGUCUCGAGGUCCAUCACUAGGCCGUCAGCGCCGCAUGUAUCGACGAUUCUCACCGUUUCAUAAGCUCCAGUAGCAGUGUUGGUCACCUUCACGUGCGCACGAGAAUAAAUUAUACGUAUAGCUCAGAAAUUUUAAUGAAGACACGAGCUUUCUUAUAGAAGACAAAAGACAAGUAGGAAAAGAUAAAUAUCUAAAUCAUCAAGGAAACAAAGCUUAAGUCCUUACAUUUAAGCACUUGCCACAAGAAUCUACCCCUUGAGGACCAUUCGGUCCACAGAAGGCGGUCCAUCCAUGUUGGCUGCGCCAUUCCAAGGGCUUAUCACCAUCCACCUCGGCGCAAAAAGGAGGUAUUGUCCAGCCAUUAUCCGUAGCUUUGUAGUCAGCCCAAUAAGCUAUGACAUCAGAAGCACUUUGGGCAGCGGCAAAAGCCACCAGGCAGGCCAAGAACAGAAUGCUUAAGCUUAGUCUCUUCAUUUUUUGUGUGAAAUACUCAAUUG
rnacentral:lncRNA from 1 species